AGGAACAAAGCCGAGUCAAUGAUCAUAAAUGCUAAAAUGGCGGAGCCUUUGUUUUUCCUGUUCAUCGCAAGCUUUUAUGCUAAGAAUUAAGACUUCUAGGUCAGUUCAACUAAGCAGCCUGUGUGAUUUUGGCGAUACCCAAACGACAACGAAGAUGAUUGGGGAUCGGUUCGUCAAUUGAUUAAAUGUUGCUUUCUGCAUCACGAUUCAGAGGUGAUUGGGGAUCGUUCGUCAAUUGAUUAAAUGUUGCUUUCUGCAUCACGAUUCAAAGAAAUUUGAAGACUAGGAGAAUAUUUGAUGAAUUAAUGCCAAAUCGAGAUCUCGCCACCCCUGAUGAUAUUAUCGACUUUGGGCAACGAUUUCGGCACUAUUCUGGCAGUUUUGGGCGUGGGAUUGUGUGCGUGGUGUUUUAAUUGUGUGUGAGGGUUUGUGAUGUGAUUAUGUUUUGUUGCUCUAAUGUACGAAGUUGAUAUAAUUUUUAAUUUUACUCUUCAAACAUUUUCAUGUACUCUAAUAGAUUGUUAAAUUGAUGUGAUUCAGUACAUGAAUUGAUGUAGUUUCUGAUAUUGAAAUGUGAUUUAGGAUUUGAGAUUUA